AUUGAACGCUGGCGGCAGGCUUAACACAUGUAAGUCGAACGAGUGGCGGACGGGUGAGUAAUGCUAGGGAAUCCAGCUUAUGGAGGGGGAUAACUACGGGAAAAUGUAGCUAAUACCGCGUACCAUAGGAUGAGCCCAAGUGGGUUUAGGUAGUUGGUGAAGUAAAGGCUAACCAAUCCGACGAUGUCUAGCAGGUCUGAGAGGAUGACCAGCCAAACUGGGACUGAGACACGGCCCAGACUCCAGCGGGAGGCAGCAGUGGAGAAUAUUGCGCAAUGGGGGCAACCUGACGCAGCCAUGCCGCGUGAAUGAAGAAGGCCUGCGGGUUGUAAAGUUCUUUCGGUAGCGAGGCGUUAGCUACAGAAGAAGCAUCGGCUAACACCGUGCCAGCAGCCGCGGUAAUUC
rnacentral:rRNA from 1 species